UACGGAGGGAGCAAGCGGUAUACGGAAUUACUGGGCUUAAAGGGUGCGUAGGCUGCGCUAUAAGUCGGGUGUGAAAUCCCUCAGCUCAACUGAGGAACUGCGCCCGAUACUGUAGUGCUUGAGGAGGAUAGAGGUGAGCGGAACUAGCAGUGGAGCGGUGAAAUGCGUUGAAAUUGCUGGGAACACCCGUGGCGAACGCGGAUCAUCGGAUCCUUUCCGAAGCUGACCCACGAAACCUAGGGGAGCGAACGGG
rnacentral:rRNA from 1 species